rnacentral:rRNA from 1 species
GUACACUCCUACGGGAGGCAGCAGUGGGGAAUAUUGGACAAUGGGCGCAAGCCUGAUCCAGCCAUGCCGCGUGAGUGAUGAAGGCCCUAGGGUUGUAAAGCUCUUUCACCGGUGAAGAUAAUGACGGUAACCGGAGAAGAAGCCCCGGCUAACUUCGUGCCAGCAGCCGCGGUAAUACGAAGGGGGCUAGCGUUGUUCGGAUUUACUGGGCGUAAAGCGCACGUAGGCGGACUAUUAAGUCAGGGGUGAAAUCCCGGGGCUCAACCCCGGAACUGCCUUUGAUACUGGUAGUCUUGAGUUCGAGAGAGGUGAGUGGAAUUCCGAGUGUAGAGGUGAAAUUCGUAGAUAUUCGGAGGAACACCAGUGGCGAAGGCGGCUCACUGGCUCGAUACUGACGCUGAGGUGCGAAAGCGUGGGGAGCAAACAGGAUUAGAAACCCCGGUUCCCAUG